GCCGCCGGUGUCCAGGACGGGUGCGGCGCCGGAUGGAGCGGCCGGGGGAGCGGCGGGGCCGCAGAGGCACCCGGCAGUAGGUGUGAGCUAAUCUUGCCUGGCUCCUGCAGUAGCCUGGCUCUCUGGUGUCUGAUGAUGAGUGUGACCCCGACCAGGGGAUGCCUCCUGGACCUGCCCUGGGAAGACAUCUUGGUUCCACAUAUCCUCUGUCAUCUGCCACUGCAACAACUCCUAAGCCUGCAGAGGGUCAGCAAGUCAUUCCAGUCUCUCAUCCAGCUGUACCUGGCCAACAUGCGCUGCUUUGACUCAAGCCAGAUUGGACCCUCCAUCCCUCGAGCUGCUUUUGUUAACCUGUUGAAGGACAAUGAAGUUCUGCAGCAGCUGGCACUCCAGAACUGCUCCGACUGGCUGACGGACCGUGAACUGCUCCCAGUCAUCGGGCAGAACCACCACCUGCACCAGAUCCAACUGAAGGGCUGUGCCCAGCUCAGCCGCCAUGCGCUCGUGGCCAUCUCGCUGAGCUGCCCCAACCUGCGCCAGCUCUCCCUGGCUCACUGUGAGUGGGUGGACAGUCUGUCCCUGCGCAGCCUGGCUGACCACUGCAAGGCACUGGAGGCUGUGGACCUGACGGCCUGUCGCCAGCUGAAGGACGAGGCCAUCUGCUACCUGGUGCAGAAGUGCAGCAGGCUCAAGUCUCUCUCACUGGCUGUCAAUGCCAAUGUGGGCGACGUGGCAGUUGAGGAGACUGCCAAGUGCUGCCCAGAGCUGGAGCACUUGGACCUCACAGGGUGUCUGCGAGUCAAGAAUGACUCCAUCAGGGUCCUGGCUGAGUACUGUCCCAAGUUGCGCUCGCUGAAGGUCAAGCAUUGCCACAACGUGGCCGAGUCUAGCUUGAGCAUCCUCCGAAGCCGUGGGGUGGAGCUGGAUGUGGAGCCUCCGCUGCAGAGGGCUCUAGUUCUGCUGCAGGAUGUGGUUGGCUUCGCCCCUUUCAUCAACCUUCAGAUCUAGAACUGCUGCUGCUGGGGAGGGGGGGACUGACACAAUGCUGGGAUCCCAGAAGGAUGCGGGAACUGGCUGCUGUGGAGACGUGCAGAGGGACAGCUAGCUGAGGCAGAGAAAUUCCCUGGUCUGUGGACUUUUCUUUUUCUGGGAACUGAUCAACCCUGCUUUGGACCAAAGACCCAGAAGAACACCAGGAGCUCAUGCCUGUGGCGCACCAGGCCACACGAGGACAUGGCAUUUUCCAUUGCAGGAGGGACUGAUGAAGACUGAGUGAGCUGAGCUAAAUCCCACAAAAAGAACUCUGUCUCUGAAUUUGCCAUCUCUUCAGAACAACAAGAGAUUCCACUGUUUAAUAUUAUUUGUUUUUUUCAUGUUUGUAAGAACUUUGCUUGUUAAAUAAACAGUUUCCCCACUUUGCUCCAAGGAUUUGCUUCCUAGAGGGAUCCCAUCCAGAAGUUUCCUCACAAGUUUGCCCUGAACUAGGACAUGCCCCUAGAAAUUAACAAUUUUUAAAGCUAUGGCAAACAAUUGAAGUUGCCUUGUUUGACCUAACUUCCCUCAUCAAUUCUUAACUAAUUAGAACAGACAUUCCUAAACUACUUUAUGUUACUGGCUUUUUCCAGGUAGUUCAUGGCAUCCUAUUCAUCAGCAGAAUGCAAGGAUUUGUUUAGUCUAAGUCUGCUUUGUAGUUUCCUUGGCUUGCUUGGAAACCUUGAGGCCCCUUGAGAAUUCUCAGAUACUGUCAGUUCAGGCAAUUUUUAAAUUCUUACAAAUCCUUUGAUUUUUGUAUCACAAAUUUCAGAACAACAACAGACUGGACCUCUGUUUGUUGCUUUUUUUUUUUU